GACAUAGGUGGCGAACGUUAUCCGGAAUUAUUGGGCGUAAAGGAUGCGUAGAUGGCAGAAUAAGUUACUGGUCGAUGCCAAACUCAAUUUGACGGAAGCUGGUAAUACUGUUCUGCUAGAGGGCAGGAGAGGUUGAUGGAAUUCUGUGUGGAGCGGUGAAAUGCGUUGAUCUACAGAGGAACACCAAAAAAGACGAAGGCAGUCAACUAUUCUGUUCCUGACAUUGAGGCAUGAAAGCGUGGGGAGCAAACCGG
rnacentral:rRNA from 1 species